UACAGAGGGGGCAAGCGUUGCUCGGAAUCACUGGGCGUAAAGGGCGCGUAGGCGGGAUGGCAAGUCAGUCGUGAAAUCUCUCGGCUCAACCGAGAAACGUCGGCUGAUACUGCCGUUCUUGAGGGAUGCAGAGGAGACUGGAAUUCCCGGUGUAGCGGUGAAAUGCGUAGAGAUCGGGAGGAAGGCCGGUGGCGAAGGCGGCGCUCUGGAACAUUUCUGACGCUGAGGCUCGAAAGCGUGGGGAGCAAACAGG
rnacentral:rRNA from 1 species